GGUGGUUCUCGGGUGAUACACCCCAGAAUGGGGCUCCCUCCUCUCUGGUUUCGGGUGUGUCACCCAAGAACCACA
rfam:Myotis lucifugus cont2.21079, whole genome shotgun sequence.